GUGUCAGCAGCCGCGGUAAAACGUAGGGGGCGAGCGUUAUCCGGAAUUACUGGGCGUAAAGGGCGUCUAGGCGGCUUGCUAAGUCUUGUGUGAAAUCUCCCGGCUCAACUGGGAGGGUGCAUGGGAAACUGGCAGGCUUGAGACUCGAAGGGGGGUGCGGAAUUCCCGGUGGAGCGGUGGAAUGCGUUGAUAUCGGGAGGAACACCCGAGGCGAAGGCGGCACCCUGGUCGAGGUCUGACGCUGAAGCGCGACAGCGUGGGGAGCGAACGGGAUUAGAAACCCCCGUAGUCC
rnacentral:rRNA from 1 species